CAGUAGCCGCGGUAAUACGGAGGAUCCAAGCGUUAUCCGGAAUCAUUGGGUUUAAAGGGUCCGUAGGCGGUCUUGUAAGUCAGUGGUGAAAGCCCAUCGCUCAACGGUGGAACGGCCAUUGAUACUGCAGGACUUGAAUUAUUGGGAAGUAACUAGAAUAUGUAGUGUAGCGGUGAAAUGCUUAGAGAUUACAUGGAAUACCAAUUGCGAAGGCAGGUUACUACCAAUUGAUUGACGCUGAUGGACGAAAGCGUGGGUAGCGAACAGGAUUAGAUACCCGAGUAGUCCCUGUCUCUUAUAU
rnacentral:rRNA from 1 species